CUGUGUGAGUACACUUGUAGAAUUUAUGCAAUAUGUUUAAGAAAUAUAUAACAAUGAUGGUAUUAUACCACUGAGUAUUUGUUUUCAUGUUUCAGAUUUUGAUUCUUGGCUCCAGUAGAGCUAGUGUGAUAUCCCUGGCAGCUGGUCCUCUAGACUGAGGACAGAUAUACUAAUGAAGAAAUAAUUAAAUCAUUACAUUUUCGAAGGAUGUGUCCAGUCAUAGAAACUUUCUUUGUAAUUUAGAGGAGAAAUAAUUCCACGAAUGAAGCCAGAGUCUACUGCCUGGGAACAAAAGUUAGUGAUGUAUGCUCACUACAGGAGCAUGACACAAUACCCCAUCUACUGGUUGUUUAUUAUUUCUAGAGCUUUCGUUGUUUUCAAAGGAGUGACAUGACGUGAUACGGUGACAUAUACAAUGUAGGUGCAGAGAGAUUGAUAGAUUAGUAAUUCUUCAUAAUCAUUAGGGAUACAAACACUCAGGGUGACCCUGGGUAAUCAUGUAGUGUUUUUGUCCUUCGAAGGGUUAGUUAAAUUGAAAGAAAAUUGAAAGGUUUUGCAUAAUUUCUUCUUUAGGUUUUCAGUAAGUUGUGAUAAUUAGUUGUGAUGGUUGAAAGUUGCCUGGAGAAAGUGUUGUUGAAACACACAAGUUAAGUGUUACAACUGUAGCAGUAUUACAGUAUUAUGUACCUAGUCUGACACAGUAUUAGUACUUCAGUCAUGUAGGAUUGUUGUAAAUCUAGUUGUGUUUUCUCUGUGAUAUUCAAGAAAUGAUUCCGUCCAUACAUUCAUGCAGGUGUCAACUUGUUGUGUUUGAUUUCUAACAGAACGCCAUGAUGGCACAGUUCCCAUUGAUGUCUUUGUAUUUUUUCCAACCAACAUUUCUCUUUCCGUGCAGCAUUUAAGGAACAGUAUUGAUUGUCCUGAAGCUGAAUUGUGCCAGAAAUGUUCAUGGGUCAGCAUUUGCUUUUACUUUCCAAAACUUUGUUUUCUACUUUUGGUUGUAAGCCAACUCCAGUCAGUUGUGACCUUGACCUUCCCUUACUAGACUUCCAUGCCAUACAUCCAUGAAGCACUCUGACAUGCACUGGGCAUGGUGGACAAUAUCACUGUAGACUGCCACUUGUAAUUGCCAUAUAUUCCAUGCAGAGACACUGCUUAGUAAGGUUUCUACUUGCUACUUCUCGAAUCACACACGUUGGAUAGCUUUUUUGUCAAGUAAACCAGUCUUUCUGUGACAGAAAUAUGAGAAUUUGAGGGGAAAUAAUAUGCUGAAUUCAUGAUAACUUGGUUUUAGAAAAAGGUUAUUCAUUGUUUGUUGUUAUGUAUACUACUAUCUAUUUAUUUGUAUAUAUAUGUGUGUCAUGUGUUGACCUCUUAUGAUCUGUGAUAAUAGCUUAGCAAUGUACACAGAUUCAGCAACGGCUUGCCAUUGCUGAAGUUAGGUAUCGACAUUGUUAGAAAGAAAAAGAGUAAAUUCAUGUGAAAGUCAUCCAGUUCACCUGAGUUGACAAGGUUAAACCAAAAGAUGGAUUUAUAUAGCCACAGCUCUUGAUUGGAUAUGGAUCUAAACUACUUUGGUAACAGAAUGUACACCAGCUUGUCUGAGCACCAGAUUGGGGACUGGAUGUGGGACAGUUGUAGUCCAUGCUUGACUACUCACCCUCGGAGAUAGUAUAGCUGUAAUAUUGCUGACUCUCAGCUGUAUACAAUGUUACACCUGUAGUUCUCAGCUGUAUACAAUGUUACACCUGUAGCUCUCAGCUGUAUACCAUGUAACAUCUGUAGCUCUCAGCUGUAUACCAUGUAACACCUGUAGCUCUCAGCUGUAUACCAUGGUACACCUGUAGCUCUCAGCUGUAUACCAUGUAACACCUGUAGCUCUCAGCUGUAUACCAUGUUACACCUGUAGCUCUCGGCUGUAUACCAUGUUACACCUGUAGCUCUCGGCUGUAUACCAUGUUACACCUGUAGCUCUCAGCUGUAUACCAUGUUACACCUGUACCUCUCAGGUGUAAAACAUGAAACACCUGUAGCUCUCACUGACUCUCAGGUGUAAAGCAUGUAACACCUGUAGCUCUCAGGUGUAAAACAUGACUCUCUUAGUUCUCAACUUGGCAACAUGUAAUACUUAUAGUUCUCACCUGUUUUCCGGUAUAUGAAACAGAAGCAGUAUGUUGUGUAUUCUAUGGACUGGUGCUGUGUUGGGUGAUUAGCCACUAGUAUCAGUAGGUAUUCAAGUACAGUAUUUAAAGGCACUGUUACUCUCAGAAUUUCAUAAUUAAAAUUGACUAAACAGUAAUCUGUCAUCUAAAUUGAUAUAUAAAUCUUUCCCUUUCAGUAACCACAUGAAUACUGGUUUAAGUCCACCAUAUGCUUAAUUCAUGCAUAUUAUCACAAUUUUACUACACAGCUGAAUCCUACCCGAGGACAAUGACACAUGGUUAUCUGACACUCUGUCUGAUGUGAAUGUAGUAAGGGUGUGUUGGUUCCAACUGUGCCGUAUCUGAGUAAGGUAACCAUGUUCAACUGUGACAUUCAGGGGCAAGCAUCAUACAACACACAUUACUGUAUAAGUGAUUACACGAUUAAACACAUUUUUACUUGUUUUCAUUUUAAUAAGAUUUGUCAUGAAAAAAAUCACACACAAAUGAACCUGUUUGUAAGUCCCACAUAUAAGGUGUAUCAUGGAAUGGAAAUUAGUCGUAAAUAUACUUGACAAAAAGGAAUGUUUUGGUUCACAAAAUAUGUUUGUUUGAGAGGAAAAUGUAAGAGUGUCUAUCUGAUCAUCUAGUCACCAGUCUUCAUUGUAAACGGGAUCAAACAACUACCUUUUCUGCUGACCUUUCUUUAUUGUUCUCUUUCCUAACUGAAAAUUGUAACUAACAGUACACAUGUACAAUAACAGUUGAAGAAAUAGAAUCAGACAAACAUCACAUAGCACCCGUUCUUACACAGUAGUGUUUUGUUGCAAAAUAGCUGUAUAAUAUGUUGUUUGAGCUGAGUGUUGCCAUCGACACUUCUCUCUGUGGUGUUCAGCACUAUGGCAUGGGAAGAUUCUUUGAUUGUAUUUUUGUAAUUUGUUAGAUAAACUUCUGUGAUAUUACAUCAAUGCAUUGGAUGAAUAAAAUGUACUUGACUAAA